rnacentral:rRNA from 1 species
UACGAACCGUACGAACGUUAUUCGGAAUCAUUGGGCUUAAAGGGUACGUAGGCGGCGCUGUCAGUCGGGUGUGAAAGCCCUCGGCUCAACCGAGGAAUUGCGCCCGAUACUGCAACGCUUGAGGGAGACAGAGGUAAGCGGAACUGAUGGUGGAGCGGUGAAAUGCGUUGAUAUCAUCAGGAACACCAGUGGCGAAAGCGGCUUACUGGGUCUCUUCUGACGCUGAGGUACGAAAGCUAGGGGAGCGAAGGGG